rnacentral:misc_RNA from 1 species
CAAAAGAGAAGUGUUCUCAAAGCAUUAUAAGGAAGCAUACAAACAGUGAGACAAUUUUUUCUCAUAUCAUAACAAGUUAUAUCAACAAACUAAGAAACUCAUGGAUACAUCUAACUCGGGCCCCAAAAGUUCGAAAUCACAAUCAGUUCAUAUAAGAACGAACGACAACUCUCCAAAAAUCAUAAAUGAGAGUCCUUUCAAGGCUUACCUUUGGAAACUCAGACGUCUUGCAAUUGUAUGUUCUAUUCCUUCUAAAAUGAGUUUAGAAAUUUGGAAAAAAUCUGAGGUGAAAACCCGAAUUCUGUUUUUAUGCCUCCCUUUAAUCUAUUUAAUCCCAGCGUUUGAUACUUUACGUUUCAUAUGGUUUAUUGUAGCAAGUUAUACUUCAAAGAAUACUGAAUAUAUUUUAGGGAAAUGUUUUAUGCUCAUGAUGAAGAUGUGUCCAGGUAUAUUAACAGUUAUCGUUACCUGGAAACGAUCUCACGUCAACGCUUUAAUCGAUGACAUUCAAAAUUAUAUUCUGAUAAGCCCAAGUAAUAUAUUAAAGAAGAGGUCCAACAAAUGUGGAACAUGUAAUAUUUUGAUGAUUAUAUGUAUUACUUUCAUCCUCUCGUCUACAAACCAAAUUAUUUUACCGACAACUCUGUCUGAUCCGCAAUAUUUUAUGGAAGUGUCAGGAUUUCCAUUAUCACGAGAGAAUAAGUUAUUUACAUUUAUGUUAAUAAUGAAUUUCACGACAGAUUUAUGGAAUGCUAUGUUGUUUAUGCCAUUAGCGGAAUUAAGAGAUGCAUUAACUUCAAUAGUCAUAGAAGAAUUUAAGUGUUUAUCAAAGACGCUUAGAGAGACAAUACCGGAUAUUCAAGAUGCCAAAGGAAAAAUCAUUCAGAGACGCAUAAAUUUCAACGAAAAAUUGGAUGAAAUAAUUAACCAACAUACUAGACUGGGCCUAUUGAUGAAAGGCAUGAACUCGGUAUUUGAGUUUUGUAAUGGCACGAUCGUAUUACUCUUCCUUAUUAUCUGCUGUAUCAUAUCUUAUGAAAUAGCGAAUGAAUUAGUCUACCAGAAAGGCUACGUAAUACAGAUUGCUAUGGGAAUAAUGACUGCACUGUAUUGUUUAUAUCUGAUAUACAUAGGACUGGUGGUUUAUUCGCGUGCUCAUCAGCUGGUGGACCAUAUUUACGCAAUGCCACUGCAUGACUUAUCACACGAAGCUAUAAUAAAGCUCUCGUUUUUCCUCCACCGAUUGACAUCAGAGCAAAUUGGAAUAAGUAUAGGUGGUUGUUUUGUGAUCAAUCCAGCUUCUGUACUCACGCUCAUUGGAAGCAUCAUCACCUAUUCCAUAGUGGCGUAUCAGACAAGGAGUUAGAAGUGGCAGACAUUAUACGAGAAAGUCUAAUUUCUCAAACUGAAACGAAGAAUUAAAUGGAUUUGUAAAUUGAUUAUGUAUUGUGUGUGUGAGAAACAGAGACAGACAGACAGACAGACAGACAGACACAGAGGCAGAUAGACAGAGAAGGGUCAAAAACCCAGUUCAUCUAUAUCUGUGAAUUUACUGGAAUUUGUCUCUGGAAUUAAAAACGCAUGGAACUAUCUGACUCUAUACUGAACACUCAAUCUGUAAAGAUAAAUACGUCAAUUUAUGACCCUACAGAGAUUUCUGCCUCCUGAACUCAUAAGGCAAUUGUUAAUUGUGAAAAUAAAUGGUGGAUAUUUAAGCGAUCGUAGACAUUAAAUAAUCGAGUAAUGUAAAUAAAUGCAAUUUGCUGUAUCAAACUCUCCAUUUUCUUGGUAUUUUACUACUACUACUACUACUG